GAUGAAGAACGCAGCGAAAUGCGAUAAGUAAUGUGAAUUGCAGAAUUCAGUGAAUCAUCGAAUCUUUGAACGCACAUUGCGCCCCUUGGUAUUCCGAGGGGCAUGCCUGUUCGAGCGUCAUAUUAACCACUCCCGCUUGCGGGGUCUUGGGCUUCGCCUCCGGGCGGGCCUUAAAAUCAGUGGCGGUGCCGUCGGGCUCUACGCGUAGUAAAUUUUCUCGCGAUAGGGUCCCGGUGGAUGCUUGCCAACAACCCCCAACUUCUUAAGGUUGACCUCGGAUCAGGUAGGGAUACCAGCUGAACUUAAGCAUAUCAAUAAGCGGAGGA
rnacentral:misc_RNA from 1 species